rnacentral:rRNA from 1 species
UUGUCUCNNNGAUUAAGCCAUGCAUGCCUCAGUAUAAGCUCCAACAUGGCAAAGCUGCAGAUGGCUCAUUAAAGCAGUGGUUGUGCAUAUGAGUAUACUUUGUACAUGGAUACAUGUGGAAAAUCUAGAACUAAUGCAUGUGCAAAUGCCCAACUGUGGGGACAAGGCUUUAUUUACUAGUAGUGGAGUCAACCCAGGACCCCUGGUCGUCUGGCGACUCGUGGUAACUAAAUAAAUCGCAUGGUGUGCCAGCCAGUGAUGAAUCGUUCCAGUCUCUGACCUAUCAGCUUCCGAUGGUAGGGUAUUGGCCUACCCUGGCCGUGACGGGUAACGGGGAAUUAGGGUUUGAUUCCGGAGAGGGAGCCCAAGACAUAGCUACCACAUCUAAGGAAGGCAGCAGGCGCGCAAAUUGCCCACUCCUGACACUGAGAGGUAGUGACAAGAAAUAACAAUAUAGGGCACUCAUGUCUUGUACUUGGAAUGAACGGAACCUACAUCUUUGUAUGACCAUCAAUUGGAGGGCAAGUCUGGUGCCAGCAGCCGCGGUAAUUCCAGCUUCAAUAGUGUAUAUUAAUGUUGUUGCAGUUAGAAAGCUCGUANUCNAGUUCCUGCCAAGGGAAACUGGUCCACCCUUUGGGUGAGUAUCUNGCUUGACUGGGGCAUCUGAUUGGGUAGUGUAAUUGCACUUGACUGUGUGGUGCACUUCCCAAGACUUUCACUUUGAAGAAAUUGGAGUGUUCCAAGCAGGCACCUGCCUUGAAUCUAUUAGCAUGGAAUGAUUGAAUGAGCCUGUGUUGUAUUAUGUUGGUUCCUGGAGCUAUGGCAAUGAUGAGUAGAAACACUUGGGGGCAUACAAAUUCAACUGUCAGAGGUGAAAUUCUUGGAUUUGUUGAAGAUGGUCGACUGCGAAAGCAUUUGCCAAGACUGUUUUCAUCGAUCAAGAAUGAAAGUUAGGGGAUCGAAGAUGAUUAGAUACCGUCUUAGUCUUAACCAUAAACCAUGCCAACUUGAGAUUGGAAGUUGUUGUUGACAUGACUCCUUCAGCAUCCUAUGAGAAAUCAAAGUGCUUGGGCUCUGGGGGGAGUAUGGUUGCAAGGCUGAAACUUAAAGGAAUUGACGGAAGGGCACCACCAGAANUGGAGCCUGCGGCUUAAUUUGACUCANCACGGGGAAACUUACCAGGNCCANACNUANCNAGGAUUGACAGAUUGAUGGCNNNNNNUUGAUUCUAUGGGUGGUGGUGCAUGGCUGUUCUUAGUUGGUGGAGUGAUUUGUCUGGUUAAUUCCGUUAACGAACGAGACCUUGACCUGCUAACUAGUGUCACACUGCUGCUGUUGUGUGUCAGACUUCUUAGAGGAACUUUGUGUGUCCAGCAUGAGGAAGUUUGAGGCAAUAACAGGUCUGUGAUGCCCUUAGAUGUUCUGGGCUGCACGCGCGCUACACUGAUGUAUUCACCCAGUUGUCAUGUUGCCUGAAAAUGUGGGGUAAUCUUUGAAAGUGCAUCAUGAUGGGGACUGACUAUUGCAACUAUUAAUCUUCAACGAGGAAUUCCUAGUAGGCGUGAGUCAUCAGCUUGUACUGAUUAUGUCCCUGCCCUUUGUACACACCGCCCGUCGCUCCUACUGAUUGAGUGACCCGGUAAACAAUUUUGGAUCAUAGUGUUGCUCAGUCCUAGAGUGCCGCUUUGCAAAGUUUGGUGAACCUUAUCACUUAGAGGAAGGAGAAGUCNUAACAAGGUUUCCG